rnacentral:rRNA from 1 species
CAAGUCGAGCGGAGAUGAGGUGCUUGCACCUUAUCUUAGCGGCGGACGGGUGAGUAAUGCUUAGGAAUCUGCCAUUUAGUGGGGGACAACAUUCCGAAAGGAAUGCUAAUACCGCAUACGUCCUACGGGAGAAAGCAGGGGAUCUUCGGACCUUGCGCUAAAUGAUGAGCCUAAGUCGGAUUAGCUAGUUGGUGGGGUAAAGGCCUACCAAGGCGACGAUCUGUAGCGGGUCUGAGAGGAUGAUCCGCCACACUGGGACUGAGACACGGCCCAGACUCCUACGGGAGGCAGCAGUGGGGAAUAUUGGACAAUGGGCGGAAGCCUGAUCCAGCCAUGCCGCGUGUGUGAAGAAGGCCUUUUGGUUGUAAAGCACUUUAAGCGAGGAGGAGGCUACUAGUACUAAUACUACUGGAUAGUGGACGUUACUCGCAGAAUAAGCACCGGCUAACUCUGUGCCAGCAGCCGCGGUAAUACAGAGGGUGCGAGCGUUAAUCGGAUUUACUGGGCGUAAAGCGUGCGUAGGCGGCUUUUUAAGUCGGAUGUGAAAUCCCCGAGCUUAACUUGGGAAUUGCAUUCGAUACUGGGAAGCUAGAGUAUGGGAGAGGAUGGUAGAAUUCCAGGUGUAGCGGUGAAAUGCGUAGAGAUCUGGAGGAAUACCGAUGGCGAAGGCAGCCAUCUGGCCUAAUACUGACGCUGAGGUACGAAAGCAUGGGGAGCAAACAGGAUUAGAUACCCUGGUAGUCCAUGCCGUAAACGAUGUCUACUAGCCGUUGGGGCC